rnacentral:piRNA from 1 species
UAGUUGCCUGCAUUUUGUCUAGGGCUGA